CCAAUAGCGUAUAUUAAAGUUGUUGCAGUUAAAAAGCUCGUGGUUGAAUUUCGGGAUCAAUAUAUCGGUCGUGCCAUCGGUACGUACUGGUAUGAUUGGUUUCUCCUUUCUGACGAACCAUGAUGUCAUUAAUUUGGUGUUAUGGGAAGUUAGGACUGUUACUUUGAAAAAAUUAGAGUGUUUAAAGCAGGCUUUAGCUUGAAUACAUUAGCAUGGAAUAAUGAAAUAGGACGUUUGAUUCUAUUUUGUUGGUUUCUAGGAUCGACGUAAUGAUUAAUAGGGAUAGUUGGGGGCAUUAGUAUUCAAUUGUCAGAGGUGAAAUUCUUGGAUUUAUUGAAGACUAACUACUGCGAAAGCAUUUGCCAAGGAUGUUUUCAUUAAUCAAGAACGAAAGUUAGGGGAUCGAAGACGAUCAGAUACCGUCGUAGUCUUAACCAUAAACUAUGCCGACUAGGGAUCGGAUGAUGUUAAUUUUUUAAUGACUCAUUCGGCGCCUUACG
rnacentral:rRNA from 1 species